GGCAGCAUGGUGUAGUGGUUUUUGUAUUAGACUUGGAUGCUGGAGACCAGGGUUUGAAUCCCUGCUCAGCAG